UACGUAGGGUGCGAGCGUUAGUCGGAAUUACUGGGCGUAAAGCGUGCGCAGGCGGUUAGCCGUGUCCGAUGUGAAAGCCCCGGGCUCAACCUGGGAAUGGCAUUGGAAACUGGCUGGCUGGAGUGUGGCAGAGGGGGGUGGAAUUCCACGUGUAGCAGUGAAAUGCGUAGAGAUGUGGAGGAACACCGAUGGCGAAGGCAGCCCCCUGGGCCAACACUGACGCUCAGGCACGAAAGCGUGGGGAGCAAACAGG
rnacentral:rRNA from 1 species